rnacentral:misc_RNA from 1 species
AGCCACGUCAGUGUCAAUUAAUUGUUUCCAGCUCAAGGCAUAAUUAUUAAUGGAAAAAGGGUUUAAUAUACCUAUUGCAGGUUCAAAUAAGGCCGGCCGCGGUGUUAAAUCUGACUUGAUCCGGCUGUUGUGAGGGAAAGAUGGCACUCGAAGGAGUUCACUAGCGAUCAUGGUAAAUGACUAACUCAAGGCUAUAAAAAUUGAAAUGCCUUGUAAUUAAUGCGUUUUCAACCACCGUUUCUUUUAAUAUAUGCUACGGUUGAUCAGAUUUGGCAGUUCGAGUCCCGCGGCGGCUGGUAAGCUUUGAUGCUUUGAAUGUUUCGUUAGCUGUGUGCUUUAUUGCUUUUUGUUGUGUCUUGCUGUUCUUAGCUAUUGCUUAGCUCCUUUCAAGGCUGUCCGGAAAACGCUGCUUGGAGGCGUUCUUUGUGACUGUGGCUCUGAAUGCUGACGGUGGGUAGUAGUAGCUGUGCCUAUGGGUGAUUUAUGAGUUUGAUUUGGCUUGAUGUAAGGGCCAGGUUUGAACCUUUGAUUUCGCGCAUUUGAUUCUGAUGUAUAUGCCCAAUGGACUUUAUUAAUGCAAUAAUGUGCACAUUUGAAAAAAAAAUUCAAAUAAGUCAAUUUUAUGUUUUUGUUCAAAUUAACUCUUAAACUUUUCAUAAAAGUUCAAAUUAGUCUG